CAUGAAGCGACCGCAUUAAUUGUCUUGCCUCUCGCUGGAAACGACCCCCACUUCCCCGUUCUCCUCUCCGCUCCUCUCCUCUCCUGCCGCACUCCACGGCUGCACGCCUGCACACGUACAAGAGAACCCCAAGCGUCAGGCCCCAAGUCGACUGGGCUCUCCCAUCGGAUCCAAGCCGAAUAUGUCGUCGUCGGUCGGAGGUGGAGGGGGAGGCGGCGCGGCUUUGGCCGGAGGGGACGUCGCUGGCCUUCUGGACAAGGCCAAGGAGCUGGACCAGCUGCGGAAGGAGCAGGACGAUGUGUCCACCGAGAUCAAUAAGAUCCACAAGAAGAUCAUCUCCUCCCCAGAGAUGGUGGAUAAAUCAGUUGAUGCCAUGAUGGCUAGGCUUCGUGGUUUUUAUGUACAAGCAAGAGAACUCUCUGAGAGUGAAGUCAGUGCUUCAUCUGCUUUGGUUGGACUAUUAGAUGGUUUGUUGCAAUCUGGAGUUUCAGCUGCACCAAGAAAAAAGAUAGAAAUCAGUGAACAGAAAAAGAAGAGGAUGAAGUCUGAUACAGAUACAACACGAUUUUCCUCUGCAUCUAUGAGGAGCCAACUUGACCAAGCUGCAAACCUUAAAGGAGAGCAGGUUGCAGCUAGGGUAAAAUCGGAUGAUGAAAAAGACGAGUGGUUUGUGGUGAAGGUCAUACAUUUCGAUAAGGAAACAAAAGAAUUUGAAGUACUGGAUGAGGAGCCUGGUGAUGAUGAAGAGAGUGCCCAAAAGUUUGAGAGGAAAUACAAGUUGCCUAUGUCAUAUAUUAUUCCAUUUCCAAAGAAAGGAGAUCCGUCUAGUGCUCAGGAUUUUGGACAGGGUCGGCAAGUCUUAGCUGUUUAUCCUGGCACAACAGCAUUAUAUAGGGCUACCGUAGCCUCUCAACGUAAGGUGUUCUGUUAUGUACCAUAGAUGGACAAAUAAGGGCUCUUAGCAGUGUUCCCGAUACAAGACAUGGUAGCUGUUACCUCUGUCAAGAUGGGUCCAAAGAAGACUGCAGAACCACCUGUUGAUCUUCUAUCAUCUAUGCAACCUGCCCAGUCAGAGUCAGAAAAUGCACUAACAAGUGUGGAUGAUGACUUGCUAAAGAGGAAGUCUGAUGAUUACAAUCUCUUAUUUGAUGAUGACGAAGAGGAUGGGAAUCUACCAGAGAGAGCUGUUCCAUUUUACAGAGUGGUUGCGCUCCCGGAGGGCCAUCGGCAAUGAAAAGCCUCGAUAUGGACAACUGGCUUGCUCUAGCAAAUGAUAGUGUGUACGAAGAUGGCAGUUUUCGAGCCUGAUGAUGUCGUAAUCUUAUUUUAUCUGCAACCGACUACGCGGUGCAGUUCAUAUGACUCUACUAGUGUACCAUUAUGUAUAUAUCUUGAGUUAGAGUUGGCUUGCAUGCCAUGUACUGUAUUUCAUAGGCUUUGCAAGUGGAAGGUUAUGUAAAUAGAAGUUGAUUGAGCGUUGUUUUAGAACAUAAAGUGGCCCUAUCGGAAUAUAUGUUUGCCUCACUUCACACGUUGUAAAAUACUUUGGUGACAAUCUGAUCAAUUACUCCUGGCUUCAA